AGCGGCGCGACGCGCGGGCUGGGCGGGAAGGCGGCCGGUCGCGAGCGCGCCCCCCCCCUCAGCCCCUCAGCCCCUCAGCCCCUCAGCCCCUCAGCCCCUCAGCCCCUCAGCCCCUCAGCCCCGUCUCUUUGCCGCCUUCCUCCCGCGCCGCAGCGCUCCCCUGCCCGCGCUUCCCUCGUCUGUAAAGCUCCAGCGCUGGGAGUCCUGUCGUUCCCUCCUGUGGUGGUGGCGGGCAAGGGGGGCGUGCGGCACUUCCCUGGUGCUGGAGGUUGCUGGGGCUGGGCUCCACCAGGCCUCAGCGACAGGGAAAACCUGGCCGGUUUAUAGUAAAAGCAGCUAGCUCAGGAAGGAGAGGUCAUGUUUAUCUCAAGCGCCCGGAGAGAGGGCAGCCACCUGCCACCCUGGGGACCCGGAGCAGUGGCCCAGGAGGCUGUGUGCAAGUGAUAUUGAGGAGAAACCAUGCAAUUAUCCAGCUGUACUUACAUCAUUAGGGAGUUCUUUCUGGUUCACAGGUUUUUAUUUUGGAGAGGGUUCUUCUACAUCUCCCACUGUCAUUCUACCUCAGAUUCGCUCAGCUAAGUGAGGUCUUUGAUUUUAGGCUUUUUGGAGUGGAAGAAAAGAUACCGUGGAGACUAGAGCAUAGCUGCCUCUUUACUCCUUGUCUAGUCCAAGUUCUGAGGAAGGCGGAGCAGAUGUGCCAUCAGGCAGUGGUAUUUUAUCAUUUGACUUAGCACAAGGAGAACCAGACAUUGCACAUGGCAGUGUUUCAGCUCAGAGGGAAAAAUUGACUUGCACACCACAUUGACUAUAUUGGCAUUUUCUUCCAAAAUGGCAGUGGAUUAUUUUUCAGGCAUGGAUGUGUGAGAAUGAUUUCCUUGUAGAAACCCACAACUAAGGAAAGGAUGAGGUGAAAAUGGGCAGAUACUGAUUCUGCACCGAAGGGAGGUGGGUAGAUGAGCACCCAGAGCUUUACCGCUGAACUAUGGGAAUCGGGAAAGGAUGUGAAAACUCUACCUGCAAUCUGUUGUGCUGCUUUUGUGGGCCUUGAGUUUAUACAUAAAAACUCACCCUCCUGUGAACAGCUGAAAAGUGAGAAUGCUUGAGCAAGAACCAAAUAGGCAGAGCGGAAGGCCAGGGCUAUGCGGUCUGAGAUCUACAAGGGAAGGAGGGCGUCUUUUGUGGAGGAUAGCUUACAAAAGGAGGAGGUACAGUCCUUGCAUUGCCUUCAGCCUCUGUGGAAACCCAAGGCCCUGAGAAUGUGAAAAAAUCUGUGGAAGCUAACUGAGGGCUUUGCAAGUGUAUCUGAAUGGUGGAUCAACUGAGUGUAGGCUCAGAUCAGGACUUCAAAUGCGUGCAGUCACAGCCUUCCCGCAGACGGUGAGAGAAGUACUGCAGAAACAUCUCUGCUUCUCCACUAGGACUGAUACAGCAGCAAGGCACAAUGUACCGGUGAAAUUCUAAGGAGACACCACUGUAACCCCUGGGAAGAAGAAAGGGUUAAUCCUCUACUGCUCAGAGAGAGUCCUGAAUCGCAUUUGUACAACAACGGUGGAUAAUAGACCAAGAACAGCAUCCUGUCAGUGUUCUCAGAUGAGAGAUAAUCUGAGCAGCAAAGUAUUUACAGCACAGGGACCUUAGCUAUUUUACUUCUGCCCAUGGGAUCCCACCUCAGCUGUAGCCGUUUGAAUUAACAUGCCUCCUUGCUUCUUCUUCUGGCUGAGGAAACUGCAAGAAGUGCUGUCAUGGCCAGCAGAACAAACAGAUGAUCCACCCUAUACCUGAUGUAUUACUUCAGCAGCAAAUUCAACAAGGCCAAGAUGUCUUCAUUUCCCUUCAGAGCAAGAACUGUAAGAGCAGUGUGAUGGAAGCAUUGGUCUUCUGUGGCCAGCCGGAAAUAAGGGAAAAGACGGAUUUGACCGAUCACAUCGAUGGGGGCUUCAUGUUGGAAGAAUGGUUUCCUCAAGCAACGGCUCUCAGGGUAAACACUGGUUCUCAAGGUGAAAUCAGAUUGCUGUGUGCUUGCCAGCGGUGACCAAGGUGUAUAGGUGAGGAUGGUUCCCCUGUCCCACAGAAAUUUGUUGUCUGCCAGAGUCAUGGAUGAAGCACACCAGAUUCCUUCCAGAAUUGCCAUUGCAAAGAACAGUCUUCCUUCCCAGGCUUGUCACAGUGCUUUUUCAGCCAAAAAUUAUCUCUGGUCAUGGCAUGGACCAUAGUAGAUGAUGCUGAUAAUAUUGCCCAAAUAGAUUAUCUUCCAUCUCUCAAGGGACUCAGGCUUCUUCAUGAACAUACAAAUAGGAGACAGAAACCAGAUAUAAAGAGCUCUUUGUCCACUCAUGGCAUGAAACAACCCCAAAAGCGACAGGUGACAAUUGCUGAAUCAUGCACCAGAAUAAUUGAAUGCAGAAAAUCAACAUGAAGAACUUGUCUCAUGAAGAAUCACAUGAGAUUAUCUAGAAAUCUGACUAGAACUGUUAUAUUUUUAUGACUUAACAGACAUCGGGACCUCAGGACCAUCCUUAAACCAUGGUGGAAACAGAACCACACAAUGAAUCAGAUUCUUCUUUGAACUUACCCAGGAAGAUCUAGGUUACAGUCAUCAAAUGUCUUGAGCAUUGUAGUUAGCUCUGAUCUCUGCUAAGACUUACUGCCAAUGUGGUACAAAAGUCAUCUGCACUUCUGGCCAAAACCUCCCUGCCUAGUCAUCGCUCAUUCUUCCUAUGGUACAUCUGCAAUGACUGACAGGCACACACUUCACUAGGGCCAGCACUACAGAGAUGGUAAGAUCUGCAGUACAGACAGAAAAGAUAGAUGGGCCUUUUACAUGGUUCACCAGUAUUUUCUCUCUUUUGAUAUGGAUCCAAGGUGAAAAAUCCAGGAGAAGAAUGGAAAGGUGAAAAUUCCACCACAAAAAGACCCAAAAACCAAACAAACAAACAAAAAAAAAACCCCAGCAACUAAGCUGUGACUCAUUAUGAAUGUAAAAUGUUGGAGCCUAAAGCUGGGGUUUUUUCAUGUGCCUGGGUGGAGAAGGGUGAGGUGCCCUCUGAGGAUGAUUUUAUCUUUAACUUUUGAGUCUGAAGAUCUUGGAUGUGGUUUGGCAAGUUCAUAAAAAUAUUUGUGAUAGAGUUGAACUGCCGUCUGGAAAUGUUACAUACAGAGAUUUAAGAAAGCUUAAGGAGAAUACUGCAGAUGCUGGAAGAAGAAUCAGCAGUGCACAUGAAUGAGGUUAAAAAUUGCAGACAAUUAGCUACUAGAUGACUCCAACUAAAUAAAUCAUCAAAGACUUGACUACUGCUUCCAGGUUUCCACAACAAUAUUAGCUCACUGGAGCAGCCAAAAAGAUGUUAAUUUGGCCAAAAUUUUAGGAGUUUGCUAUUCUUGUUUGAAUUAACAAAUCAACCAAUAAGUCCAAUGUACACUCUCUUGCCAAGGCUAUAAAGCAGGCCCUUUACGCUUCUAGGGAAGAUACUAUAUUUAUUGCUCAGGGUCGAGGGCCCCAUGAUAUGGAAAAUAAGAUAAUAAGCAUCUUUGUGUUAAAUGAGAGCUACAUGGGAAAGAAAAGCAACCUGAGCUUGUCAUGGAAUCUCACAUCUUGUUUCAGCACCCAAUAAAGCACUUUGCUUGUCCAAUUUAAUAGAGAGGCAUAAUUUCUUUUUCCUGUAUGCCUCCACAGUUCAGGUCUAGCUCUGAUUUCAUUUAGAGCUUAGCCAAGACCCAAAGCAAAGGGAAAAUAUUCCUGUUGCUUCCAACAGGCAUCUGGUCAGUCUCGUGCCAUGGUUUUGUGUAAAUGUAAAUUCAGUGCUGAGUUUCUCCCAGGAAAAAGAGGGGUAGGUGGUAACACCAGGGAAUCUGUACACUCAGCUUUCCAUCCUCGUGCUACUUGCUGCUGAUAGAACCAGUCCUUUGGCUUGGCAAAAACUUCUUAAUUUGUCUGGCCUUUCUGCAGGGUUGACUAGUACAAAAAAGAGAGCACCUUGACCUUCUUUAUUGCUAAAUCUAGGUAGCUCACCACAGUUGUACUCUUUUACUGCUUGAGAUUUACUUGUGUCCCUGGCAUGUUGUGAUAAGCCUCUGAAUGUCACUGCUGUGAAGGUUUUGUUCUUCCCAAAGGCUCUCCAGAGGUUCAGUGAAGGCAAGUAGGGUUUGCUUUGGUUGAAAAGUAUUUAUGAAAGAAUUUAGUGGGAAAUCGGAAUGUUUGACUUGUUACAAGGCCAGUUUAUACUAUGUGGACUUCCAACAUUGCUCAUAGUAGGUGAACCUCACCCCAUGUUAAGGGCCAGCUCAAGACUUAGUUAUCAUGUACAUGCAAUUUAAACUGUCUUCAAAAUAAGACUUAAGUGGUUCAUAAGCCUCACACUCACUCUUUGUGCAGGAGUGUAAAGAAAGGAACCUGAUUUGGAAAACACUAGGGAGAAAUACUGAAGUUUUACGCAUCAAAAAGGCUAAUUAGAAGUUGUUUUCUUUUAUAAAAAAUAAAUAAAGCAUAUUGGCAUUAAUUAUAUGAAAUACUUAAAGUUUGGUAUAAUCUACUGAAGAGCACAGAUGUAUACCAAAUACUGUGCAAAUGAGUGUGUGCGACUAUUUUUCAGGUAAUACAUUUAUUUACAAAAAUAAGCUGUGUUUGGGUUUCUUUUUAAUGGUUAGAAUGUCAUAAAAGGCCUUUCUCUCUCUCUUGCUCUUAUUCAAUGUAGUGAGAUAGUUACAGCUGCUCAGCACAGCCUAACAUACAUUCCAGGAGCUCGAAGCAGAUUCUUCUGGUACCUGAGUUAGUAGUACUCUGUCAGCUUUCCUGCAAUUACGUCACUGUGUUUCCAGAGCUACUGUGUCUGCAGAAGUUCCAGAAAGCUCAUGGUGAAGAGUCUGCUUUCACCUCUCAGAUUCAAGCCCAUUAAAUGAUUUGAGGAAAUGAAAAACGAGUGAUCCUUUUAGAAUUGUCAACAACUGGCCUACAGUCUAGCUUGAAGCUUUUGGUAACCCUACCAGCUACAGCUCUGGACAAGCCAAAGAUUGCCAGAAGGAUACAUGUUGCCUUUGAAACUGCAGCCUUUGACCUGGUCUUACACUUCCACUUCUGAACUGACUAAAACAGUGAGAGCACAUCCUCAGGAUGGUGGGGACCUGGCUUGCUACACUUUUGCUGCAUUUCAGAGCCAGCAAACAGGAGGAGAUGGAGGGUGCUCACAACCAGACAGUGAAAUGCUUCUAAAGAGUAAAUCCCAGAAUGACCUGUGCUGCAUACACAGCUGUACUGCUGCCAGCCCGGAGAGUAAAGUGAGCUUCGGAGCCGUCCACUCUGGGCGUCAGCGGUUUUGAAGCAAUACAAAAGAAGGUGGCUGAUUCUCCACUCUGUUUUACUGGUUGUAUACUGGUGAAAUGCUGUUGAAGCCAGUGCAGUUGCACUGCCAUAAAACCUGAUACAACAAAGCAAGUAUCCAGUUUGAUAUAUUUACUGUUGAUACUGUUAAUAAUGUUAAUGUCCACAGAGUCCAGAGCAGCAGGCAGGACUGACCCCUGGCCUCUCUGAUUUGCCUCAGUAGAUCACACCGUAACCCUAUUAUUUUCCUCAAGUUUUCUUACCUUGUAAUCUUCCUGGGUAUCAUCAGAAUAAAGUGCACCCUGCAAGUAACUCCUUAAACCCAAGUAUAUCCCUGUUUAAAUAUUGGGAUUGGGAUAAAGAAUACCAUGCUUAAAUGGUAUCCUUUGAAAUGCAGCAUUGUGCAUAAAAGGCCUGCCAGGUUCCUGUCAGAAGGGUUAGCUGAAGACUGGGGGACUGGAAACACUGACUACAGCCAAUUUCUUUUUUUCUAUUUGUUAAUCCACUUUGUCCAAACAAUAUGAACAUUUGGUGCAUUUAGCUUUAAAUAUGUCAAAUGCUCCUUUAGGAAAGAACUUCCAAAACCUAAAAUCAUCUCUUAAAACCAAAUUCAUUGCCUGAGCUCAAAAUUAUUCUUCUCUACAUAAAUAAACACACAUGCGCACGCGUGCGUGCGCACACACACAUACUUGCAUACUUUGUCUGCACUGCAGGAAUCAUCCUGGGAUAGCAUUGCGCUAUUUGUGCAGCCCUGCUAAAAAGCCUGGCUUUCUGAUACCAAAAAAGUGCUGCAAAUAUUAACACAUUAUUGAGAGUGGGGGAAAAAAGCAAGAAUUAUUAUCCCAGAAUGUAACAAAUCUAAAAAUAAAUUGACUUCAUUUUCACCUAUUUCAGACCAACGGGGGUAAAACAACUUUAAUUAGUGUAACAGGACAAUAGGAAUGAAAUUGGCUUGGUCACAAGAUUUUUGCAGGAUGACACUGAUGGUAUUACUAUCCAACUUCAAAGAUUUGGAAAGAUGUGGCUGCUAACACUGGAGAAUAGAAACCUGUUUUUCAUCAACUAGGCUGGCCUGACAAAUUAAGUCUGUGGAGUCAUUAGAUUAAGAUAAGAGCUUAUCUCCUAGACUGACAUUUAUUCAGAGGUUUUUAUGCUGCUCAGCUAGUAAUUAGUGCAGUUGAAUUUUUAACAUUGCUUUGUCCAGUCAUUUGACAGAUUUGAAAUAUACACAGUUUUGAUUAAAAAAAUAACUAAAAUCCAAGGAUACAAAAUUAUUAACUUGGAAAGGUUUUAAUUUCUGGAAGAGUUGAGAUUAUGCUAAAAAUCUUCAAGCAGGUCAGAAGUGCUUCUGCUGUUGACUCAUUUCCAUACACAGACUGAGAGGCCCCUUAAACUAAAUUUUUAGGCACUAAGCAGCAGAUAUCUGUAGCAAAUCUGUAAUUUCUUUCAUGCCCAUCCAUUUUGUAAUUCUGCUGCUUUACAGGGGCAGGAAUACAGUGAAGGCUGCACUCCUGCUCAUUAACGCUUGUCUGCCUCCUUCGGCACUCAGGUUGGGAUUUUGGGGCUGGGGGGGGGGAGGAGUUUCAAAAGGAUUCUUGUCUCAUAUGGCUGAUUUCCUGGGAUAAGGUUUAUUUUUCCUGUCCUAAUUUUCUUGUAAUAACAGAUGGAUUGUUCCACAGUAAACCAAUGCAUUACUUUUGGACACAUGUUUUAACAUUGCUUUAGACUAACAAAUCUCACUUUUUUUUAAACAGCUCAUUUUGAGUAACUGAAGAUCAGAAUUAGAUUAAUAAUUAAUGAUUAAAUGGAUGAGUGUUUGUUUAUGAACUUUGACAAGUUUGUUACAGCUACAUCCUGUUACUGCCUUAAAGCAUUUGUUUUGUCCAAAGUGCAGCUGUCUCAGCAUCUAUGGUUGUUACCUUUAGAAAUACACAGGCAAGGGGACUUUAUGGUAGUAAAUUACAGUUCAUCCAACUACUUAAUUCCUAUGAAUACUGGCUUUCAAAAACAGAGAAGAAAAAAAGAAAGCAUGCACUCUGGAAAGAUCCAGAUGAUCUCAGACUGCCUGUUUGGAAAAUAGACCAUCCUUCUUGAUGUUUUACACCUUACUGCCAAGACCCCUGAAGUCUGUGGACUCACAGACCCAGGGCAGUGGGUUGCAGAGGGCAGCCAGCAUUGCCACUCACAUGCACUCCUGAGCCUGAAGCGGCAGCGGUAGAGCAGGACGUGGGCUGUCAGGCCAACUGAAGCCAGGGUGUGCAUGCUGGUUUUUCGUGCCCACUUCUGUGGGUUUGGGUUUUCCUGGCAUUUAUGUGACCCCAAAGCACGAGAGGAGUUAAGCAGCUUGUAAGCACAACAGCUCUUCCGUGGUGCUGCAGAUGGGAAGGGAGAUGUGAGGCAGGGAGUGAUUUCAGAGCUGUGUAUAGCCAGGAGUGAAACCCUGCCACCCUCUACUUUCUGAGCCUGAACCAUGACCUAGAGCUGCCCAGACUCCUGUUCCAAAGCAGAUGCUUUCAGCCCUCUGUGGUGGUAAGGCCUCUGAUACUUCCCACUGGCGCUGUGAAACCCUAUAUAGUAAAUUUAAGCUCCAUGACAAUCACUGCCACCAGGCACCGCACCAUCCCUAGUCUGCAGGUGAGACCACCUCAGCUUGUGGUCAGGAGUGCCUAGAGGUGGAGAUGGAGACGAUGUUUGUGGCAAUGCUCAUAAAAUGGCCUGGCAAGAAAUUUGCAUCAAACUGAACCACUUGCAUCAGUCCUCCAAAAGCUUCAAGUACCGUUUGUCCCACAAAUUUCUGCCCUCUAAAUUUUAGCUGUUAAUGCUGCCUUUGCUGUCAACCAAGUCAAAAAUCCCACAAAACUCUCAAUGUAUAACUCGCUUCCCAGCCAGGGUGGCCCAGCAGAAAGAAGUGGAACCUGUCCCUGGAUCUUGGGUGAGCGUGAGGGGAAGACCCGAUUUCUGAUGUCUCCAGGAAGGAGUAUGGCCUGAACAGAGGGAGCGGGAGGGAUUUACAUUCAGGCUUGCCAGGUUUUGUGGCGGCAGCAUCCCUGUUUUCCUGGGUUUGUUUACUUUCCUCUGUUGUGCAUUGCUACACUGUACAUUGCUACAACAGCUGGAUGCUCUCAGCACUAUCUGGGCAAGCUUCAGUCUGUUAGGCUGUUAGACAUAAGAGGAAAAGUUGCCAUCACCCACACACACACGCAGGCACAAAACCAAAGAAAGCCCACACCUUUGGGACAAAAAGACAGCUAUUAUGAAACUAUUAACAUCUCCUUUUGAUGGACUGUGGAGAUAACAGCAUACAGGUGUCUUAGUGUUGUCUGUCUCAGCUGUCCGUCAACAGUGCUGGCUCAUGGGGCGAUUCCCUGGCCCCAGAGCCAUCUCAGACACCUCCUAGUCUGCUACUAUCCGUGAGGUUUUUGUCUUACAGGCUGCCACCAUCCUCCUGUACUUCUGUGAGAGAUACCAUUGACCUGCACCUUUCCCUUGGGUCAACAAUUUAAAGACAACUGCUGCUUGAUGGUGCAUGCAAAAUGAAUUAUUAGUCUUGGUUCUGGCCUAAGUGUCUGAAGACUGAGACCUCCGCUGGCCCCACACGGAAGACCAAGGUCUGACAGAAGCACUAGCAAAAGAGAAGUCCCAACAGGUCAAGGGAAGGGGCAUUGCAAACUGAUAAACUCCGUUACUACGAGGAGAACUUUGUUCAACUUCUGACGCCAGAAAGGACAGCCUGGACUGGCAGCUCCUCCAGCAACCAGUGGAAAUAAUAUUAAUUAACCUGAGGGCAGUCCCUGGCUUGCUGCGAGCAAGGCAGGAUCCAUGCAAAGGGCAGGGGAUGAGCUCGUCGGAGGCUGAUGAAGUUUGGGCUUGCAUUCCAGAAAAGAUGUCCUCAAAGGAACACGCUUCCCCCUAAGAAGCCAUCAGGAUACACUGACACCUCUGCCUUCUAACAUGGAUGUUUUUCAGCCUGUAUCAGUCAUCCAUACGACAUGGCUCUUUCCACACCAUCUUCCCAGCACAGGGCUGAGGAGAACAGAGAUCAAGCACAUCCACGAAAAGGGUAGCUGGUUGGAGUUGCAUCCGUGAAGCAAAGGCGCUCACCAGUGAGCAGAUUUCAAGUCAACCACGAAUGGCUACAAGCUUGGCAGGGGCUCAAGGCAGAAGCUGGCGGGUGCUGCUGGCUUUGGGGGCAGGAGCACCGUGGCUUCCCAAGAACUUCACGGUCACGGGCCAGUGGUUGCCAGCAAAGCCCGGGCACGCACAGGUAAGCCAGCUCGAUUGCUUUAAAAUGGUUCAUCUGUUCCACGAGUGUGAAAAUAAUAGCCAUGUCAGAUGAACUUCUGCUUUUUAUUAAAAAUACCACAACCAACAACUUACAAGGUAAUUGAUUGCUUCUUCUAGGCUUUUAUUAGUUGUGAUUAAAGAGAUAUAGUAGCCCUGUUUACAUAGCUCUAACAAGUCAGGACCUGCAGUACGUUAUUGGCUUGCAGCCCACAACUUGCAGCCCAUUCUCAACAGAAUCAAUCUGAAGUUGAAAACAUCCCCUGUAGGAAGCG